GCAACAAAAGCUCAGUGUUAGUGGAGCGUCGGUCUUGUAAGUCGAAGGGCGGAGGGGUCUCCUUGUUGUA
rnacentral:tRNA from 1 species